rfam:Schizosaccharomyces cryophilus OY26 unplaced genomic scaffold supercont4.2, whole genome shotgun sequence.
AUCUACGGCCACAACUAGGCGGAACACCAGGUCCCGUCCGAUCACUGCAGUUAAGUGAAAACGUCUGAAGGUCUCGUUCAUACUAUGGUUGGAGACGAACAUGGGAAUCCCGGGUGCCGUAGGCU